CCCUUAGAUGUUCUGGGCCGCACGCGCGCUACACUGAUGGAUUCAACGAGUGUUGUUCUUCGGAGCAGAUCCUUGGUCGGAAGGCCUGGGCAAUCUUGUAAAUGUCCAUCGUGAUGGGGCUAGAUUUUUGCAAUUCUGAAUCUCCAACGAGGAAUUCCUAGUAAACGCAAGUCAUCAGCUUGCAUUGAUUACGUCCCUGCCCUUUGUACACACCGCCCGUCGCUACUACCGAUUGAAUGAUUUAGUGAGGACUUCGGACUGGGACCGAUGCGGCUUUCGGGCUGCGUCGGUAUUCUGGAAAGAUGUCCAAACUGUAUCAUUUAGAGGAAGUAAAANUCGUANCA
rnacentral:rRNA from 1 species